rnacentral:lncRNA from 1 species
CAAACCUCACUGCCCAGUGUACCUCGACCGCCUCCACCUCUCUCAGAGAGUCCGACAAACUCUUCGACAGUGUCGGUCCAAUGUACCUCGGUCGCCUCGACCUCUCUCAGAGAGUCCGACAAACUCUUCGAAAGUGUUGGUGAGGCUUGCGGUCGGUCUCGCCGCCCAUGCCAGUCUCAACCGCAGUCGCUGCCGUUUGGCUCCUCACCGUCCAUGCCCACGCCCUUGAGACGGGCGUCAUCUUCACG